AUGGCGGAAGGAAGCCAGACCUGCAAACUGUUCCCACGGUCUUCUGGGCCCAGCCUGCCGUAGCCCCACAGCCUUCACUGGCUAGCUUAGUAAAGUAGGGCAGGAAGCAAAAGGUCGUGUAUAUUAUCACAAGAUGACUUUGUAUCUUCGUUUUUAUUUUAUUUUUUCUUUUAAGCCAAGCCAGUGUAUAAAAGGUAGAGUUUGAAAAUAAAGUAGGCAGCUUUUUGUUUUUGAGAAGAAUUUCUAAAUGAGUAGCUUUAGAGCUUAGUUUCAGUUUUAAUUUACUGUGUGGAUUAGUGGGAACUGGUCCAUCUAUCCAUUAGAGGUAUAUUUUCAUUUUAUAUUAAGCUAAUAAGUAGUAAUAGGGUAAAAUCAAUGGGUGCUUUCUGGAAGAAGGGUACUUAUGGGGAAAAAAAGGUCAAAGGGAAUGAGUUAACAUUGUUCCUAGUUUGACUACAAAGGAAAAUUCAUUAUUCGAAAUAAGUGCUCACUACUUUUCUUCAGAGUAGAAUUUGCGGUUCUCUUAAUUUGCUGAAUUUGAUAGUUGCUUUGAAUUUUAUAAUUGGGAGGGGACGCUUAAAUGCAUUACAGAUUAGGGAUUCUAAGUGAUUUUCUCUCUAUAAGUGCAGUAAAAAAGAUAUCAGCAAUUUGAAAGGCGUGGUGUGGGAGGGUGCAGGAAGCAGAUUAAAUUUUUGCCAAGAUUCAUGAGUGUGUUGUGUUCCGAACACAUGUCAGGGUGACUAAUAGUUGAAUUGGCCUGACUGUACAGUCUAAGUAAAGGAUUGGUAAUGCAUUCCCUGCUGCUCUGAAGACUUGACCACUUUGUCAUGCAAGGACUAUGCCGACCAGCUAAGUUAUGUUCAAAUAAGGCUGCUGUGAGGACUGUUGUACAAGGAAUAAGCUGCAAACCAAUGAUAUUUAUAGAAGUAUAAAAAGUUUCAAUCUGCAAAACAAAUUUUUUGAAACCUGGCUAAAAAGAAACAUUCUAGUUCUAACUAGCUGUGUGAUUUUGGACAAUUUGCUUAACUGCCCUGGGCCUCAAUUUUCUUACUGCUAAAAUAGUUUGGGCUAGGUCACAUGUAUCCAGCAUUUUAUAUAGCACUGGAAUUCUGUGGUCUGUGAGUACAGGGUGGACUUGACAUUACAUGUUCCCUGUCUUCAAAAUGCCCUAGCUCAGACCUAGAAAGCAUUCUCUCGUGCUACAGUAGGAAGUCUCGUUGAAGGUAAUUGGACUAACUUAGAAUGGAAAACGAAAAGUUUUCAAAGUGCUCUUUGCCCCUUUAAUUAUAGUUAAGUUAUUCAGGCAUUUGGUUCUUCAUAACACACCAGUUUUUAUUAAAAAAAAAAAAAAAAAUCUUUGAAAAAUGCUUUGUAGCCAUAGUAGAUUCAAAGUCUCCCACGUUUCCCAAGUUCCACCAAUCUCAUUCCAUCAUUCAGAGUUGACCUGUGUAUGCAAAGGGCAAAGUAGGCAGGUGAAUAAAGGUUCUUGCCUUUAUAUAUUUUAACUGCUGUAGAGAAAGAAAACAGCUUUCUGACAGCCACAGUGAGCUAUUUUUAAACAUCCUUCCUCCCCAAACUGCAUUAUUUCCCUCCCUAAAUUUGGUGAGGAGGAGGAGGAGGAAGAUAGCUUCUACCCCUUGUGCCAUAACCAGGAAUUGUGUAGGCAACGUAUGGGUAUGCCGUACUUAGAACAGUACUGCAUCCGGUAGAUCUUAUCCCCAUUUCACAGGUGAGGAAACUGAGGCUUGUUGAGGCCAAGCCACUUUGCUGAGGUCACUCAGUUAGACAGCAGCAGGCUCAGCAUUCCACGGAAAUCUCUGGCACCAAAGACUGUGGAUUUAAUCACCACCCUUCACUGCCUUCUAGCUGGCCCAACCUCUCAUGAGAAGCUUCUAAUGAUUUUAUAGGAUUCACAAAAUGACUUCACGUUUAUGAAAUGAAAAGAGAACUUGCUUACCAUCCAAAGGCACUAGAACUAUAAAAUGUGGUGCAAUCCUGAAGAAGCAAAAGUAACCAUUUUGAAUUGUUUUCCAGAUAUGAGACAGAUGGCACAUAUUUAUUUUUAAUGUGUAAGAAGAUAGAGAAAGCAAUUGGAGAUGUGACACCCUGCACUAAUUGGCAAGAAUCACCUAAUGUACAUAGUUAAGGCACAAAGAGAGGAAAAUUAGGUCCAUGCAUCACACAAAUGAGGCAAUACAACAACGUGUGUUUAACUAGAUUUAUUUUCUACAAGGUCUUUUCUGUUUCGUUCUAAGUAAUUUUAAUGAGGAUUCUCUAAACGUCUGUGAAUGAAGAGAGACAAAGAAGAAAACAAAUCUGGGUACCACAUGUCCUGAUAGAAGCCAAACGGGUCUGAGUAGUCACACCAGAAUCUUCAAUAAAAAAUACAUUUAACUAAAAUGUACAUUAUCGCUUGUUAGUCCCUCCGAACUCCAGUUGGUAAACCUUGCACUCACGUCCCUUUAUAUAAUCUGUGCAAAAAAAAAAAAAAAAAGGCAGAUCACGUGACCACUGGAAUUGUUCCUUAAAUUUAGAGCCCCCCAUCGAACUCUGCCAUGAGCAAGCAGUUAAUAACUGUCUGAAAAUUUAGGUGCUUUGACGUGGAGGAACUCAUCAUGCCACAUAUCACCAUUUUCAUCAGGUUUGCGCUUUGGAGAUCACAAAGCACAGUUCCCAGUGACUUGGCUCUGCCAGCUCAGCAUAGCUGUGUUCCCCUGGCUUUCUAAGUUUCACAUCACCACGUUGCGUUUCGUUGUGCAAGCUCUGCCUCCGAACGUGCGGGCUCUCCAACGACAAGCACUGGCUUUAUCAAUUAACUCACUACAAAGGCAGGCAGCGUUAGUCAGGUGGUGCUUUUCUAUUUGUGUUGGUGAGGAGAUGAGAAAGUGGUAGAACCACUGGCCAGGUAAGAUAGUGGAGAAGUGGGCUGGUUGUGUAGCUUCCCUUUCAGGCAGGAAUCUGAAAAAUUCUUCACUCUCUCUCCAUCUUCACCCUAAAGUAUGUUAUGUAUUUAUGAGCUCAAAAGCUUGAGCAAGCCAGUUUACCCUGCCACAGAAGUAUGUGUGUGUUCACGUUAAGUUAAAAAUUUUAACUCUUUGUAGUAAAAUUGCCUUUGGGCAAAAUUCAACUAUCUGAAUCAUUUAGUUAAAUUAAAGAGAACAUUAGUGUUAGCUACAGAUUUCCAACACUAAACUAUUUUAAACACAGAAUCCGAUUUUAAAUAUUUGUCUUUUAUCACGCCUUGUCAGAAGACUGAGACAAGGUUAAAGGAGCUUCUUGAAGACUUGUUGGGCAAGAUGUCAUUACAAAAUCCAGCAUUUCCAAGUUGCUUUCACAGCAAUAGCCCUUAGAUUUGAAAAGACGGAAGUCCCUGGGUAGUGCGAAUGGUUAAUCAGCUUAGCGGCUGACAGAAAUGUUGGAGAUUUGAGUCCACCCAGAGGCACCUCAGAAGAAAGGCCUGGCCAUCUACUUCCAAAAAAUCAGCCACUGAAAACACUACGAAAUACGGUUCUACUCUGACAUGCGCAGGGUCACCAGUGGUCAAAAUCGACCCAACAGCAACUGUUUUUUUGUUCUGAAGGAAGUUGCAUGGAAACAUUGCUGAGCAGCAGUGCACGAGGAUGGUUUAACAGGGCAGGGUGCCUGUCUUUUGGGAAUUCCCAAUUUGUGAUGCAACUCCACCCUCAAGGUGCAAGUAUGUCAAGAGGAGAAAACUAUGGGAACAGAUUCCAGUCAUAUUCUCUACCUUGCUGGAAAGGUUGAUGAGAUUUAAGAGGGGAAGGUGUGCCAGCAGCUCCUGGCUCAACAUUAAUCAGUCAUGCUCGACCCACGAGCUUACCGUGCUUAGGUAAUCAGGAGUGCUGCCAUUUAAGGGUAAGUGCAUUCUAUUGACCAACCGGGAUGGCUUCUGAAAACCAGACAUCUGUACAAGAAAGUGAGAAAUUUGCUUCCCAAGCACCUUGCAACCCUUUUCUUUAAGUUGUUGGUUUCCUUGGAUACUUUUCACAGUGACACAACUUAGUAGUUACUUUUGUUUGUUUCUUUAAGGAAAUUUCUAAGACUUUUAUUUGCACAUUUACUCUAUUAUGCUUUAGGGACUCAAUGGUGAGCAAACGCCUAAGUGGCAUCUUCCCACAUGGAACUUACAAGUAAAAGACCUCACUCAUUUCUGGCUUUGCUAUCCUUACUUAAGCUCUUUGGGUUUUGCUUUUCUUAUCUGUGAAACGGGAAUGAUGAUGAUUCUUGACCCUCAGGAUUGUGGACAAUUGGAGGUAAGGUAUGUAAGGACCUCCUACGUGGCCUGGUACAUAACACAUGGCCGAUAGUUGGUGAGUAGUAGUAUUGUUGUGUGCUUGAUAUUUAUUUCUUAACCAGGAAAAUAAUUCUUGCUAAUCCUAAUCACUUUAUUUCAAAAUUGAUUUUUUUUUUAAAAUUAGCAUUAGGAAAAAUUCAUUCAUCAUUCGUUUCCACAACAUAAUUUUCCAGUAAGUUCAGUGAAGGCCAAGCUUACAAUAUUAUGUUGUAUUUUUAUGAUCAAUAGUUCCCCUUUGCAAUGCUUAGUGUGCUACUGAAAUCUUGCAGGAAGGAAGUUCGGCAAGUCUUUGAGUAAAACGCCUUCCUGUCAAAAGCUGUGAACAUACUGACCAAUGGCAGGAUUGAAUUGACCAAUAGAUUCAGUGAGUUGAAUUCACUGUGGUUUUGACCAAGGACGAAGAACCCAGAAGUCUCCUUUGCUACUGCAGUUUUCAUGAGUGGCCGAACCCUGAGGUUGAUCCAAUUUUUCUGAAUCAGGACUCAGCUUAAAACACCACUAAACAGAUAUCUCUUCAUGCUCUUCUGAGGUUAUUACGUUAUUAACUUAUUACAUUCUUUCCAGUUAAAAGAAUUCCAUAGGUGGAGUACCUCCUAUAUCACAAGGUAUUAGCCUCAGUAUUAGAAACCAAUUUAACCUGGCAUCGGUUCUAUCCAAUUAAAAGUCUUAUGCUGACAUAAGAAUGUUGGUUGGUUGAUUUUUGUUGUUGUUCUGUUUUUAAUUGCUUAAUUUUUGAUUGUUGGUUUUCACCGCCCUUUUUCCUAUUUAGCAUAACUUCUAUGGACAUGCAUUCUAUGCCUUCAUUUUCCUUAAAAAUAAAAACCAGUUGCCAUUGAGUCAAUCCUGAUUCAUGGCAACCCCAAGUCUUUCAGAGCAGAACUGCACUUCACAGGGUUUUCAACAGCUGUGACCUCUUGGAAGUAGAUAGCCAGGCAUUUCUUCCCAGGUACCUCUGAGUGGAUUCAAAUCACAACCUUCUGGUUAGUAGCCAAAUGCUUGCCUGAGCGUUUAACCAUUUGUAACAUAAGAUCUAAGCACUCAAGUUGAUCCUGAUGCUGAUGGCCAUACUUUGAGUAACAGAGUUGACAAAUGUAUACAUGAUGGUUACCUUUAUUUGAGUCCCAUGAUUGCCCCGUGGUAAGCAAGGCAGUCACUAUUAUUCACAUUUUGCAAAGGAGGAAAUUGAGGCACAAUUAACUGACACAAUCAAUGAGAGACAGAGCCGGAGGUACUGCCCAACCCACCUCUUCCCGCUACAGUAAUAUACUGUGUUUAGCUCUCUUAUUAAUUUCUCAAAUUAGAUGCCACCAAAGUGGCAAGUGCCCAUGCAAGAAAGUAGCAGAAGCAAAUCUCUAUAUUCUAGUGUCCUCUGUUCUUGCCUCAAGUUAACCUUUCAACCUACCCACAACUGAACUCCAGGUCAACUAGUGCUGAGGCUCCUCAUGCAGUGUCCACAUUUCAUUUAUUCAACAAAUACUAAGUCCCUACUAUGUGACAGGAACUGUACUGGAAACCUCUCUAUCACUUCUUGAGUGGUGGCUACUGGGAACCAUAAGAUCUAGUCUGACAUACUGUCUCUAACCUUCUCUUCAAGUCUUAGCUUACAUACUGAUCUCUUCCAAGAAGACAUCCAGACCACUCCUGCCCUCAGGGAGUUUACCUGAGCUUCUGUCCUUUGAUUUUUAUUUGCUCCUUAUUUGAUACUUUGUGUGAGACAUCUUUAACAUUUGUUUAUCUUUUGGACUGCAUGAGUUAGAGACCCAGUCCUCUAGAAGCAAAGCUUGUGUGUUGGCAUCACCGGCAAACAAUUGCAGUGCUGUGUACAAAGUAGCUGCCUCAGUCACUGCUUUCCGGUUUUGACAAUGAUGAUGGUGUGAUGUUUUGCUUUAUGUAUAUAUCCAUGGUAUCUACUACUUCAUUGGGAUUAGGUCAGAUAAGGAGUCAUCAUAGCCACUCAUUCUGACAAUAGGUCACACUCUUUACUGCGUCAGAAUUAUGCCUGUUGUAAACACUCCCUGCAUUGAGCACUUACACAAGCACUUCCCAGGUUACCAAAAAGAGGUGGGGUUCUUGAAGCUGUGAAUGGGUGUUUGAGUCAGACAUACGUAGAUUCUGACAUUAUCUGGUCUUCAGAUUAGUAGUGGAGUUGGGGGGUAUUUGCGAUUUAGGGCAAAAAAAAAAAAAAAAGAGAGAAAAGAAUUAUGCCAGAGAGAUUAAGUGGCCAGAGGACUGUUCCUACUUCUGGAUAAGUGUUGGCGUUUCUACUACCAAAUACUGCACAACUUACAAACAAAAUUUGAUUUAAUUUCUAAUAUGCUGUGGUUGAACAGUAGUGAAAGAAUUUCUGAUAUAGCCUUCUAAGGCAUAAUGGCAUUUUAGAAGUGGAUGGAAAAAGCCCUGUAAGGGUCAGCUCCAUCAUUCCUUCCCAGAGUAUCCUUCUCAGGCCCCCUCAGUCUGGAGUAUUUGCUUCUUCUCCGGGCUCUCUUCUUUACAGCCCUUUACCAAGUGUCCUGCUGUUGUUUACUCUCCUCUCUCCUUUCUCAGAGUGUAAAUUCCCGAGGACAGAGAACCGUGUAUGUAUUUUUAAAUCUCUGAAUCCUCAGCACCUAUUUCUAAUCUAGGUGUUCCAUGAAUGUUUGUUGUUUGAAUGAAUGAGUAACUCUGCUUAUUUUCUACUUCACUCCUUCUACUAACAGCUGCAUACGUUAACUUUAAGAACCACCUAUAAAUAAAACCCAACAACUCAUUUGGCCCAGAGUACUAGAUCCUGUAUUAGUUUUCUAGGGUUGCUGUAACAAAGUACCACAAACUGGAUGACUUAAAACAACAGAAAUGUAUUGUCUCACAGUUCGUGAAGCCAUAAAUCCCAAAUCAAGUGUCUCUCUGAAGGUGCUAGGGGAAGAUCCUUCCUUGCCUCUUUCAGCUUCUGGUGGCUUCUGGCAAUCCUUGGCGUUCCUUGCUUUGUAAAUUCAUCACUGCAAUCUCUGCUUCAUUCUUCACACAGCCGUCUUCCCUCUGUGCCUCUGUUUCUCUGUGUCUUGUCUCCUAUUUUUAUAAGGACACCAGUCAUAUUGGGCCAGGGCUCAUUCUACUCCAGUAUGACCUCAAGUUAACUUAAAAUUUCUUCAAAGACUCUAUUUCCAAACAAGGUCACAUUUACAAGUACCUGGAGUUAGUACUUCAACAUAUUCAAACCAUUACAGAUCUCUUCCCUGAUAAAUUUGAUUGAAUGGACUUACAAAAGACAAAGUAUCCAUUUUAUGUUUUAUUUUUUUCCCUUCUGUUUUUUAUCCUUAGAUGGACCAGGCGAAGUUAUUGAAAAGACGGAGAGGUUGAAGUCUAGAGGACAAUGAUCAGGGAAAUGUAAAAGCUUGUCAACUAAUUUCUGAAUAAUGAAAAGUUAUUGUUUGCCAGCCAGUCAAUACUGACUUAGAACGACCCUAUAGGACAGAGUAGAACUGUCCCAUAGAGUUUCUUAGGCUGUAAUUUUUACAUGAGUAGAUUGCCAGAUCUUCUCUCCCACGAAGCCCCGGUGGAUUCAAACAGCUAACAUUUUGGCUAGCUGCCAAACACUUAACCAUUGUGAAACCAGGCCUCCUAAUAAAAACUUGUUGUGAAUGCUGGCGAAUUGGUUCCGGACCCUAUGUACAAGAGAACGAAACACUGCCUGAUCCUGCUCCAUCCUCACAAUCAUUGUUAUGCUUGAGCCUUUUGGUGCACUGUGUCAUUCCAUCCAUGUGUCAUUCCAUCUUGUUGAGGGUCUUCCUCUUUUUCACUGGCCCUCUACUUUACCAAGCAUGAUGUCCUUUUCCAGGGACUAAUCCCCCCCGAUAAUGUGUCCAAAGUGUGUGAGAUGAAGUCUUGUCAUCCUUGCUUCAAAGGAGCAUUCUGGCUGGACUUCUUCCAAGACAGAUUUAUUCAUUCUUUUGGCAGUCCAUGGUAUGCUUAAUAUUCUUUGUCAACACUGUAAUUCAAAGACAUCGAUUCUUCUUCAGUCUUCCUUAUUCAUUGCCCAACUUUCGUAUGCAUAUAAGGCGAUUGACCAGGCACAACUUAGUCUUUAAAGGGCCAUCUUUGUUUUUAACACUUUAAAGAGGUCUUUUGCAGUAGAUUUGCUCAAUGCAAUGCCUCAUGUGAUUUCCUGACUGCUGCUUCCAUGGGUGUAAAUUGUGGAUCCAAGUAAAAUGAAGUCCUCGACAACUUCGAUCUUUUCUCUACUUAUCAUGAUGUUGCUACGAGGUCCAGCUGUGAGGGUUUUCAUUUUCUUCAUGCUGAGGUGUAAUCCAUACUGAAGGCUGUAGUCUUUGAACUUCAUCAGGAAGUCCUUCAAGUCCUCUUCACUUUCAGCAAGCAAGGUUGUGUCAUCUGUAUAAUGCAGAGUGUUAAUGAGUCUUCCUCCAAUCCUGAUGCCCCGUUCUUCUUCGUAUAGUCCAGCUUCUUGGAUCAUUAACUCAGCAUACAGAUUGAAUAAGUACAUUGAAAGGAUACAAACCUGAUGCAUACCUUCCUGACUUUAAACCAUGCAGUAUCACUUUAUUCUGCUCAAAGGACUACCUCUUAAUCUAUGCACAGAUUCCUCAUGAUAAAAAAAAAAAAAACAAUUAAGUGUUUUAGAAUUCAUAUUCUUCAUAAUGUUAUCCAUAAUUUGUUGUGAUCCACACAGUCAAAUGUCUUUGCAUAGUCAGGUAAACAUACAUCUUUCUGGUAUUCACUGCUUUCAGCCAGGAUCCAUCUGACAUCAGCAAUGAUAUCCUUCCUUCCAUGUGCUCUUCUGAAGCUGGUUUGAGUUUCUAGCAGUUCCCUGUUGCACUGCUUCAACAGCUUUUAAAUGAUCUUCAGCAAAAGGUUAGUUACUUGUGAUAUUAAUGAUACUGUUUGAUAAUUUCUACAUUCGGUUGGAUCAUAUCUCUUUGGAAUAGGCAUAAAUAUGAAUCUUUUCCAGUCAGUUGGCCAGGUAGCUGGCUUCCAAAUUUCUUGGCAUAGAAGAGUAAGCACCUCUAGUGCUGCACCCCUCUGUUAAAACAUCUCAGUUGGUAUUCCGUCAAUUCCUACAGCCUUGUUUUUCGCCAAUGUCUUCAGUGCAGCUUGGACUUCUUCCUUCAGCACCAUCAGUUCUUGAUCACAUGCUACCCCCUGAAAUGACUGAAUGUCAACCAAAUCUUUUGGUGAAGUGACUGUGUGUAAUCCUUCCAUCUUCUUUUGAUGCUUCCUGUGUUGUUCAGUAUUUUGCCCAUAGAAUCCUUCACUGUUACAGCUUGAGGUUUGAAUUUUUUCUUCAGUUCUUUCAGCUUGAGAAAUGCUGAGCGUGUUCUUCCCUUUUGGUUUUAUAAUAAUUAUAAUGUCAUUAUAGUACUUUACAUUGUCUUCCCAAGCUGCCCUUUGAAACCUUCUAUUUACUUCUUUUACUUCAUCAUUUUUUUGGUCAGGUUAGCUACUAGAUGUUCAAGAGCAAGUUUCAGAUUCUCUUCUGACAUCCAUUUUGGUCUUCUCUUUCUUUUUAAUGACCUUUUGCUUUCUUGGUGUAUGAUGUCCUUGAUGUCAUUCCGCAACUCGUCUGGCUUUCUUUCAGUCAUUAGUGCUAAAUGCAGCGAAUCUAUUCCUAAGAUGGUCUCUAAAUUCAGGUGGGAUAUACUUUGGCUCUCAUGGACUUGUUCUAAUUUUCUUCAGCUUCAACUUGAACUUGAAUAGGAGCAAUUGAUCAUCUGUUCUGCAGUCGGUCCCUGGUCUUCUUCUGACUGAUGAUAUUGAACUUUUCUAUCAUCUCUUUCCACAAAUGUAGUUGAUUUUAUUCCUGUGUUUUCCAUUCGGAGAAGUCCACGUGUAUAGUCGAUGCUUAUGUUGUUGAAAAGAGGUAUUUUCAAUGAAGAAGUUGUUGGUCUUGCAAAAUUCUAUCAUGCAAUCUCUGGCAUCAUUUCUAUCAGCAAGGGCAUAUUUUCCAACUUCAGAUCCUUCUUUGUUUCUAACUUUCGCAUUCCAAUCACCAGUAAUUAGCAAUGAAUCCUGAUUGCAUGUUUGAUCAAAAUCAGACUGCGGAAUUUGGUAAAAUCUUUAAUUUCUUCAUCUUUGGCCUUAGUGGUUAAUGCAUAAAUUGAAUAACGAUCGUAUUAACUGGUCUUCCUUGUAAGUGUAUGGAUAUUAUCAUAUCAUUGUUGUACUUCAGGAUAGACCUUGAAAUUUUUAAUUUUUUUUUUUAAUGAUGACUACAAGGCCUUAGUCAUCUAGUAUUGCUAUAAUAGAAAUACCACAAAUGGAUGGCUUUAACAAAGAGAAAUUUAUUCUCUCACAGUCUAAUAGGUUACAAGUCCAAAUUCAGAGCGUUGGCUCCAGGGGCAGGCUUUCUCUCUGUCGGCUCUGGAGGAAGGUUCUUGUCCUCAGUCUUCCCCUGACUGAGGAGCUUCUCAAGUGCAGGGACCCCAUGUCCAAAGGACAGCUCCUGGUGCUGCUUUCUUGGUGGUAUGAGGUCCCCCACUCUCUGCUUGCUUCCCUUUCCUUUUAUUUCUUGAGAGAUUAAAGUUGGUGUAGGCCCCAGCCCAGGGAAACUCACUUUACAUUGGAUCAGGGAGGUGACCUGAGUAGGGGUGGUGUUACAAUCCCACCCUAAUCCUCUCAACAUAAAAUUACAAUUACAAAAUGGAGGACAACCACAGAUGACCUAAACAAGUUGAUACACAGAUUUUUGGGGGGACACAAUUCAAUCCAUGACAAUGCCACUCCUCUUCAAGUUGUCAUUCCUGGCUUAGUAGACCGCAUGAUUGUCCCAUUCAAAAUGGCCAACACCAGUCCAUUUCAACUCACUAAUGCCUAGGAUAUGGAUGUUUAUGCAUUCUAUUUCAUUUUUGACAAUUUCUAAUUUUCCUAGAUUCACCCAUCGUACAUUCCACGUUCCAAUUAUGAAUGGAUGUUUGUGUUAACUUCUCAUUUUGUGUUGUACCACAUCAGUAAAUGAAGAUCCCGAAAGUUUGACUCCAUUUAUGUCAUUAAGGUUGACUUUACUUUGAGGAGACAGCUGUUCCCCAGUCAUCUUUUGAAUGCCUUCCAACUUGUGGGGCUCAUCUUCCGGCGCUAUAUCAGACAAUGUUCCGCUGCUAUUCAUAAAGUUUUCACUGGCUGGCAUUUGAGUACUGGUGGCAUAGCUUCCAACAUCACAGCAACAAGGAAACCCCCACAGUAGGACAAACUGACAGAUGCGUGACAGAAAGUAAAAAUUUAGCAAUGGCUAUAUCCAUCUGGGCAAUACUCACUAUAUGAGUUCUCUUUCAACUUUAUGUUAAAAAAAAAUGAAAAAAAACUUUCACCCCAAAUCCAGAAAUAAUUUUUUAUUUGAGUGUUUCAGAAAGAGCCAAAUACGUCUGAAAGUAGCUUACUCAGGGAAAUGAAAGUUAAACUUUAUCAAAGCAGGUUCUGAGCUUGUCAUUAAAAUUUAAACAAUCAAGUUUUUUGACACACUGCAUCUAAACUAAAAGUAAAACAUUUUAAAUUCUGGAUAUGAAUCUCCUGCAAGUGAGGGAUAAAUUGGGAGUUCCCAAGUGACUAGUUAAAAUGUUUAUAGAUCCCAAACUGCCUCUUUUACAAAGUGCUUCUUCUUUUUUUUUUUUGGCUUCUUAUUUGAAAGUCAUUUGAAAGUUAUUUUACUGCAUUAAAACAGAGUGGUCGUCAUUUUCAAGGUCAAAUGGAUUGUUAAACAGUCACUACUUAUUAUGUACUCAUUUUACUCAGGACAUGGCAAAGUACAUGUAAUCUUUUUCUAGUUAAAGGUAAUGUGACUCAGUGAGUGAGGCGGAAAAAAUUGAGUAAAAUCCCCUACCUUACUCUAUCUGCAGGAUCAAAGGCAGGCUGCUUAAGCUCUCUGGGUCUGUUUUCUCAUCUAUAUUGUGGAAUACUCUCAGGGGGCUGUUGCAAGUAUUAAAUGAGAAAUUUAUGUGAAUAUGCGUGAUAUCCUGAUACUUGUUGUUGUUAGGUGCCAUCGAGUCGGCUCCGACUCAUAGCAACCCUAUGCACGACAGAACGAAACACAGCCCGGUCCUGUGCCAUCCUUACAAUCAUUGUUAUGCUUGGACCCAUUGUUGCAGCCACUGUGUCAAUCCACCUCGUUGAGGGUCUUCCUCUCUUCCACUGUCCCUGUACUCUGGCAAGCAUGAUGUCCUUCUUCAGAGACUGAUCCCUCCUGACAACACGUCCAAAGUAUGUAAGAUGCAGUCUCGCCAUCCUUGCUUCUAAGGAGCAUUCUGGUUGUACUUCCAAGACAGAUUUAUUCAUUCUUCUGGCAGUCCAUGGUAUACUCAAUAUUCUUUGCCAACACCACAGUUCAAAGGCGUCAAUUCUUCUUCGGUCUUCCUUAUUCAUUGGCCAGUUUUCACAUGCAUAUGAUGCGAUUGAAAAUACCAUGGCUUGGGUCAGGCGCACCUUAGUCUUCAAGGUGAAAUCUUUGCUCUUCAACACUUUAAAGAGGUCCUUUGCAACAGAUUUGCCCAAUGCAAUGCAUCUUUUGAUUUCUUGACUGCUGUUUCUAUGGCUGUUGAUUGUGGAUCCAAGUAAAAUGAAAUCCUUGACAGCUUCAAUCUUUUCUCCGUUUAUCAUGAUGUUGCUCAUUGGUCCAAUUGCGAGGAUUUUUGUUUUCUUUAUGUUGAGGUGCAAUCCAUACUGAAGGCUGUGGUCUUUGGUCUUCAUUAGUAAGUGCUUCAAGUCCUUUUCACUUUCAGCGAGCAAGGUUGUGUCAUCUGCAUAAUGCAGGUUGUUAAUGAGUCUUCCUCCAAUUCUGAUGGCCCCUUCUUCUUCACAGAGUUUAGCUUCUCAUAUUAUUUGCUCAGCAUACAGAUUGAAUAGGUAUGGUGAAAGAAUACAACCCUGACAUACACCUUUCCUGACUUUAAACCAAUCAGUAUCCCCUUGUUCUGUCCGAACAACUGCCUCUUGACCUAUGUAAAGGUUCCUCAUGAGCACAAUUAAGUGUUCUGGAAUUCCCAUUCUUAGCAAUGUUGUCCAUAAUUUGUUAUAAUCCACACAGUCAAAUGCCUUUACAUAGUCAAUAAAACACGGGUAAACAUCCUUCUGGUAUUCUCUGCUUUCAGCCAGGAUCCAUCUGACAUCAGCAGUGAUAUCCCUGGUUCUACAUCCUCUUCUGAAACCAGCCUGAAUUUCUGGCAGUUCCCUGUCAAUAUACUGCUGCAGCCAUUUUUUGAAUGAUCUUCAGCAAAAUUUUGCUUGGGUGUGAUAUUAAUGAUAUCUUUCUAUAAUUUCUACAUUCGGUUAGAUCACCUUUCUUGGGAAUAGGCAUAAAUAUGGAUCUCUUCCAGUCAGUUGGCCAGGAAGCUGUCUUCCAUAUUUCUUGGCAUAGACGAGUGAGCACCUCCAGUGCUGCAUCUGUUUGUUGAAACAUCUCAAUUGAUAUUCCAUCAAUUCCUGGAGCCUUGUUUUUCGCCAAUGCCUUCAGAGCAGCUUAGGCUUCUUCCUUCAGUACCGUUGGUUCCUGAUCAUACGCUACUUCUUGAAAUGGCUGAACAUCAACUAAUUCUUUUUGGUAUAAUGACUGUGUAUUCCUUCCAUCUUCUUUGGAUGCUUCCUGUGUCAUUUAGUAUUUUUAUGCAAAUAAUGUGCACCUUCUACAUGUUUUUGCCAACUGCACUUUCCCCCCAGCGGUGUUUUCCUAAGCAUGUUAUGCUAAUGUUUAUGUUAUUUUACUGUUUUACCAAACCAGGAAAACAAAACCCAUUGCCCUGGGUCUGAUUCUCAGUGACCCUAUAGAACAGAGUAGAAUUGCCCCAAAGGAUUUCCAAGUAGCAGCUGGUAGAUGUGAACUUCAGAUCUUUUGGUUAGCCUCCUGAGCUCUUAACCACUUCACUACCAGGGAAAAUUGGCAUAGCGGUGCUUACAAAAAUACCUUGUGAAGUGAGGGCGUGGUUGGCAAAUAAAUGUAGAAGGCCUAAGUUAUUUGUGUAAACGCCUAAUAAAUAUGUCUCUCGACUUUUCUCCAAGUUGCUAACUUAAAGGCAAGUUGCUUUUGUCUUAAGUCCCUUGGUUAGAAACUGUUUUCUCACGUGCCACAAUUCUUAUAUCAACUAUUUUCCAUUCAAUCAAUUUUUUGAGAUCAGUCCAAGGGAAAUAUCUUUCAGGAUAUUGCAGCAACAAGCCAAAUGACCUGGAGCCUGAUGCUUGGGCUCGAGCUCCAUUUUUUAAUAGUAGCUGUGUGUCUUUGGCUACCACACUCUCUCUACCACUCUGAGCUAAAAAGUCCCGCCUUGUAAAAUUCCUAAGGUUGGUGUCCCACUGUAAAGAGAUAAUAUAUGAAAAAACAGACAAACAAAAUGAUUGUCUUGACUCUGACUUACGGCAACCACGUGAGUGUUAGAACAUAACUGUGCUCCAUGAGGGGUUUUCAAUGGCUGACUUUUCACCAGGCCUUUCUUCUUCUUCUUUUCUUUUUCUUCUGAUGCACCUUUGGAUAGACUCAAAUCUCUAACCUUUUGGUUAGCAGUUAGGGGCAUUAAUCACUUACACGCUCAAGGGACUCUAACGCCUGUAAAAACACUGUUAUUAAAAAUAAAUUCUAAGAAAAAAACCAAACUAUAAAAAUCUUAAAUAGUUCAUGAUACAAGCGAGUCUCCACAUAAUAGCUGCUUUAAUAAACAAAAUUUUACAAACUCAGUAAAACAACCACAAAAAUAAACAACACAUAAUAAAGUAAACAUGCAAAAACUUAAGACAUGAGAAAAAAAAUUAGGGUUGUAUCAUACAGUUAAUUAUAGCAAAAAAUUCAGAAUAGUUUUGUUGCUGUUUUUAAACACAAUUUAGUUUUAAAUUAUAGCAUUUGAUAUUAAAACAAACUACUAUUUUUUACUACAAAAUAAAUUGCACAGUUUUGAAAAGUCAUUACAAAAUAAGAUUACUGAAUUGUUUUCAAAGUUAUUCUGUCAAUGACUAAAUGACUCCCCAUCCCUCCCACCCUUCCAAGGCCCAAAUCAUCAUCUACACCCUCCCUGAAGUCUAGCCGAUGCUUCUAGGCUGCUGUCUGUACCAAAGGCUAAAGCUGCGUCUGUUGACAAUGAACCACAUCACUGACAGAUGACGAUGACGAUGGAUGCUGAGAGUCACGAAUCACACUGGCACCUGGGCUGAAGGAGAGGGCUACCCUAUACAACUCCAUUUUCAUCCCUCUGCUCUAAGUCCACAGCUUCUGUGUCUAUCAAGUCGUUCCUAUGUUCUUUGACAGGUUCGUGUUUGCUGCAGUUCAGGGGUAGAGACAACUUUGGAUGCAAAAUGAAGUCAGGACAUCAGGGCAACAAAGCCACCAUCCGGACUCCUUCACCUUCACCUAUAACCCAACAGAAGCAGCAAUAAUAAAAUAAGUAAGUGAUAAUUCUUGGUGUGCACAGAUCACAGUGUUUGUACUCACAAUGUGAACAGACUGGUUAUUGACUUGACAAUUUUCUCUCUCGUGAUCUUCAGUUCCUUUCUGCAUCCAUUCCCAGUGCUGUGCUGGGGCCCACACACUGGUGGCCCUCCUCCUUCAGGUCAUGUUUUACAACUGGGGUAAAAGUACUGUCAAGAUAAAGUCUUAUACCCUACAGAGGCGAGCUCUUUGUAAAGAGAAUCAAACAAAUCUGAAUUCAAAUAUCAGCUCUGGAACUUUCUAAGCAUGUGACCUUGUGGAGUUACUUAACCCCUGGGAGCUUCAGCCUCUGUAUCCGUAAAACGCAGAUUGCGAUGUCUACUUUUCAGGUUUAUUGCGAGGUCAUACAAGAUUCUGUACUUGACGUUCGUACUGUAAGGACUGACACAGCAUCAGCCACAGCCUAAGGCCCCCACCUUAGAUUCACAGAACACUGGAUGCCUCUGCCUGGAGAGGAUAGAGACUGAGGGACUCAGCUUUUGAAAGCGCUCAAAACAGACAAAGUAUUCGACUAACACACCUUCAAUGCCUAGUUCAGUUCUAAGGGCUAGUAUCGUAUAGAGAUGGAACCUGAGGUUGUUCAAAGGUCUAACUCCUGCAGGAUUCCUGAGGGAUAAACUGAACAGGCCCUUGUCAGGCCUUAGGCCAGUUUCAGCACAGCUUUCUUGUAGUGUCUAUUUCCCAUGCCUUGGAUUCUGCAUCUGAAAUAUGUUUAUUAUUUUAUCUUAUGCAAUGUUGUCUUUUGUACUGUCAAGUCGAUUCCGACUCAUACUGACCCUAUAUGACAGAGUAGAACUGCUGCAUAGGGUUUCCAAGGCUGUCAUCUUUAUGAAGGCAGACUGCUACAUUUUUCUUCCAAGGAGCAGAUGGUGGGUCCAAACAGCCGACCUUUGUGUUAGCAGAUGAGCACUUUAACCACUGAACCACUAGGGCUCCAUAAUAUUAGGGUCAGAUGUGAGACUAAAAUCCAGGUCUCCUGGCUCCUGGUCUUGUUUGCUUCCUACUGAAUCACAUUCAUCAUCGUCAGGAAGCAUUAAGAGUGAAGACAGGUCCCCAAACACAGUGUCUGUGACCUUCGAAACCAAUGGCCUGUCAUGCACGGAGGAUGGGGAACGAACACCAACAGAAUAAAUCCUCUCCCUGCCCAAAUUUGUAAUCCUUAUUUUUACCCUUCCUAUUUUAUACCUUUAUUUCCAUUCCUGCCUUCUGACAAAAUCAAACAGCCUUUACCCUGCAUCUUAUAUACCUGUCCCGAAGUCCACCUCUGUGGCUACUGGAAUUAGUUAUUAUGUCAAAUUGUCCUUCUGUUUGAAUAUAAAACUAUCCAGGGCAUCCUUUGUUGGGCUCAUAGAUUUUUGCCUUGAUCACAGAGCGGUGCUGAUCUUCAAUUCAUGAAUGGGUGUGUGAAGUUUACAAGUAUGUUUAAAUUUCUUUUCAUACCAGGAAGCAAGCUCAAGCAACCGUUUUAUACACUAACUGUCGUGUGCCCUGGGAGGGACCACUGAGUAAGGCAACAACCAGCCUUCGGGUACUGGACACGAAAAGGAUCACUGUUUACUAAAUAGUCCUUUCUGCACUAGGAUUUGGCUAUCUUCUGUUACACCUUUGCCUGAGUCACAUUCUGGCUUUCUGUUUCUAAUCUCCAGUCAGAGCUAGAUUUUAAGUUUUCAGAGGCCAGCAGCUGCCUCUUAGACUCUCUGUGUAGUACUUAUCACAGCACCAAGGACAAUCCAGCUUAGUCGAGCAUCAUAAGAAUGACAACUCAGCCUAGUUGCUGCUCAAAAUAAUGACUCGAGAUUUGGCUUCCUACCUCCUCACCUCAGAGGCAUUAAACCAAGAGGUUUUUAUUUAUAGAUAGGAUAAUUAGCUUUUUAUUUUUGUGAAUAUGCUGUCCUCCUUCCCCACACCUGUGUUCGUCAAGCUGAACAUUACCGGGCUGGUGACAUCUUCACUGAUGCAGCAAAGAGACACUUUGGUGAAUUUCAGAAAUCUGAGCAAAAGAGUCACAAGCGGCACCAGGGCAGAUUUGGUAAAUAUUCUUGUCUGGUUAAAGGCUCCCGUGAAGGCGCCACCUUUUCUUCUCCGAUCAGCAAAUCCGAGGAGCCAGUUUUAAGUAUAGCAUGUCUUGAUAAAGCACGUUAGAGCUUAUUUAGCUGCUGUUCCUAAUACCGAUUAUUAAAGGGGUUGGAGGAAGUAUUAGGAGGAUCCAGAAUGGCUGAUGGUUGAAACAAAAGAAACCAAACCCGAAUAACAGCAGAUAAACAACAACAAAAAUUCACCUUGUUUUUGAACAGACUACAAACCAAAAAACUCAAACCAUCAAGACCACUCUGCUCAUGGUGACCUCAUGUGUGGCAGAGUAAAACUGUUCCCUAGGGUUUUCUUAGCUGUAAUCUUUAUGGAAGCAGAUCACCUGGCCUUUCUUCUGUGCCACUGCUGGGUGGGUUCAAACCACCAACCUUUAGGUUAGUAGUUGAGCACACACCACUUGGGUGACCCAGGAACCUACAAGGAUAGUUAAUUUUCUGGUGUUCUUGAUUCUUAGUCAUUUUAUCACAUUGGACACUACUAUAUACUGUCUCAUUUUAUUCUCCAGCAAACGCUAUGAGGGCGAGAAUUACUGCCUUCAUUUUAGAAUGGAGGGCCCUAAGGCCCAAACAUGCCAAUAUCACUGAACUAGAAGCAAAACCAUAAUCCAGACUCUUAUUUAGUUAAAAUGCCCAUGAAUAAGGACUGUAGAACAAUUGGGGUUUUAGUUGGUCCCCUUGAGAGCAGAUGUUCAUCAAGGAUUAGCUUUAAAAGAGGAUUCUAUGCAACAUAAUUAAGGAAAGAUGCCGUGACUCAUGGCUCCCGUGCUUGCAGCCCACAGGUCUCCUGUGAGUCAAGAGAUGGGCACCUGGGGCGGGGCAGGCUAGGGAAAAUCAGUACUUUCUUUGCCCAUUCAGGCCUGUUCUGGGAAAGUCUGUCAAGCCCUGGGAAGGGCAGCCUGACGCGUUUCACUGGACUUGAUUUCCUGGGCAUGUGCAUAAAAAGAAACCACACCUUAUGGAAACAGAAAUGACCCAGAUGAGACUCCCCACAGAAAUGCAAGGAGUGUCCAAGUAAAACUGGACCGGCCAUGAUUCUUUAUCCCGUGGGAGGCAGCUGGCCUAACACAAUGACUCUGGGUUUGAAAACUGAGUUUGAAUGCUAAUCGUCACAUCCUUAGCAGUGUGGCUGUGAGCAAGUUACUCCUAAACUUUUUGAGCCUUAACUGCAACAUUUGUGAAAAAAGGACAAUAUCUUCUCACAAAAUUCUGUGUAGGUUAUAUGAAGUAGGUAUUUAGUAAAUACUCUCUUCCCUUUCAAAGUUAGGGGAUUCAGUUUUUCUAGGGCCAAAGAAAGAAAUGGCCUGGAAAAGAUUGUUGAGGAGGUUAGUAAAAUGGACAGAGGGGAAGUUUUCUGGAAAUGAUAAAACAAAAUCAAAAUGUCACUUAUGUAUUGCAUUAUCUUAUAUUUAAUUUAGUUCCUUAGAAUUACAUGGGUCAAUGUGUUAUAGGCGCAGGAAUUACAGCCAUGUUAAUCAGCCUUAUUUAGGACUAUUUGCUCGUCAUUCAGAAUAAUUAAAAUUUUGGUAACUUUAUAUUUGUAACUAAAAUAGAGUAUUAUAUAUAACAUACACAUCAUACAUAUAUUAUCUGUAACAUAUUAGCAUCUAAUUUAUCUAAUUCACAAAUGUUAUUUUAUCCCCAUAGUUAAUCCAGUAAUGUAAGUAUUAUCCUUAAUAUCCAGAGAGUUUGUGACUUGCCUAAGGCUUCUCAGGAUUUCAAUUCAUUCUACUGCAACCUGCAUUUCUGGUAAGGCAUGACACUUAGGUCAUAUACGAAAGAAUGCUGUUUGCCUUCAAGUGACCUUCAAUUUAAAAAAAAAAAAUGACAUACAAAAAUAUAGUAUUGCAUGCACGCUCUUAGGUCUAAUUAAUAAUGUUUAUUUAAAUAUAUUGACAUAAUAAAUAUUUUACAUGAUGUGUUCAUAACAUAUAAAGCCUAUAAUUUGAAACUUUCUUUUCAUUGGAAAAUUUUCCACUUUUCUAUGUUCUUAAUGGAAGGAAAACCAAAUGAACAAACACAACUUGCUGCAACUGUCAUUUUUAAUGAGCAGGUGAGUAGGGAGGUCAUGCAAUUGUUAGCACUAAACUCUGCACUGUUUCCUAACAGCCGAAUGUUGGACCACAAGGUGAUUGAUUCUUAAGGAAUUAAGAAGACCUGAUGGUGUAGUGGUUAAGAGCUCAGCUGCUAACCAAAGGUCGGCAGUUCAAAUCCACCAGUGGCUCCUUGGAAACUCUAUAGGGCAGUUCUGCUCUGUCCUACAGGUUUGCUAUAGUCAGAAGCAACCUGUUGGCAAUGGGUUUGAUUUUUGGUAUUAUUGUUAAACAGAAUACUAAAGCUAGUCAUGAUUAGUUUCUACCUUUAUAAAGUAAAGAAAAACACCUGCAUAUGGCCUACUAAUGAGAAAGGGUAUAAACUGAAAGUUAUACAUCCAAGAAAUGGCAAAAAGUUGUGUGUGUGUUUUUCUGUGUUUUAGCUAUGCUGGUCCAGCCAGCCAAGAGUAAAAAUCUGAAGGAUAAAGAAGCUUAAACAGUUGGAGCAGAGGUCUUUCAUAUACUACCUUGCCUUAAAAUAUUUUGAUCAGUCCAUUUAGUCUUUGAUUUUUAAUAGAUACAUCAAACUUAUGUGUUGUCUAAUGUUUCAUUCAGCUGAGUUAACAGUGACUGUAUCUUGUUAUGCUUUUUAAAUUGUUGUUGUUAGGUGCCUUUAAGUCAGUUUUGACUCAUAGUGACCCUAUGUACAACAGAACAAAACAGUGCCUGGUCUUACGCCAUCCUCACAAUCAUUAUUAUGUUUGAACCCAUUGUUGCAGCAAUGGUGUCAAUUCAUCUCGUUGAGGGUCUUCCUCUUUUUCAUUGCCGCUCUACUUUACCAAGCAUGAAUUCCUUCUCCAGGGACUGGUCCCUCCUGAUAACAAGUCCAAAGUAUGUGAGACAAAGUCUCGUCAUCCUUGCUUCUAAGGAGCAUUCUGGCUGUACUUCUUCCAAGACAGAUUUAUUCAUUCUCCUGGCAGUCCAUGAUAUGUUCGUUAUUCUUCGCCAACACUGUAAUUCAGAGGCAUCAAUUCUUCUUCAGUCUUCUUUAUUCAUUGUCCAACUUUCACAUGCAUAUGAAGUGAUUGAGAACAACAUGAUUUGGAUCAGGCACACCUUAGUCCUUAAAGUGACAUCUUUGCUUUUCAACACUUGAAAAAGGUCUCUUGCAGCAGAUUUGCCCAGUGCAAUACUUCUUGACGGCUGCUUCCAUGGGCGUUGAUUGUAGAUUCAAGUAAAAUGAAAUCCUUGAGAGCUUCAGUAUUUUUCUCUAUCAUGAUGUUGCUCUUUGGUCCAAUUGUGAGGAUUUUUGUUUUCUUUAUGUUGAGUUUUUGUCCAUGCUGAAGGCUGUAGUCUUUGAUCUUCAUCAGUAAGUGCUUCAAGUCCCUCUUCACUUUCAGCAAUCAAGGUUGUGUCAUCUGUAUAUCGCAGGUUGUUAAUCAGUCUUCCUCCAAUCCUGUUGCUCCGUUCUUCUUCUUAUAGUCCAGCUUCUUGGAGUAUUCGCUCAGCAUAUAGAUUGAAUAAGUAUGGUGAUAGAAUACAACCCUGGCACACAACUUUCCUGACUUUAAACCACAAAGUAUUCCCUUGUUCUGUUUGCAGGACUGCCUCUUGGUCCGUGUACAGCUUCCUCAUGAGCACAAUUAAGUGUUCUGGAAUUCCCAUUCUUUGCAAUGUUAUCUAUAAUUUGUUAUGAUCCACACAGUCGAAUGCCUUUGCAUAGUCAAUAAAACACAGGUAAACAUCCUUCUGGUGUUCUCUGUUUUCAGCCAAGAUCCACUGGACAUCAGCAAGGAUAUCCCUCAUUCCACGCCCUCUUCUGAAUCUGGCUGGAAUUUUUGGCAGUUACAUGCUGAUGUACUGUAUUUUUAAAAUGAACCUCCAAAAUGUUUGGCCUAAAAUGAAACCGAAUAUUAGGGUUUAAGUUGCUUUUUGUUUUCUAAAGUAUUCCAGAAGAGAAAAUUAAGCUAAGCACAUCCGGGUUAUGUCAGAUGAGGAGCCCUGAAGUGGAAUCCUUUGUGAAGAAUUAUCUUCCUUGUGGGUUACAUGCAAAGCAGGGAAAUGUGCUAUAUUUACAUUUUUAUCACUCUUGGAGUCAAUUCUAAAUCAAGAGACAGAAACCAAGAUGCCUCAAGGGCUCUUGAAAAAAGCAGUCUCUUACAAAAUUGCGUGUUUCUAUACAGCCUGUGCAGAGGGAAAGUUGUGAGCAAGGAUCUGUAAUUUUUAUUUGUAGACUUUCAGUUCUGCUCUCAUUUGGUUGAAACCUUUGGUUCCUUUUUUCAUUUCCUGUAACAAAUGUAUCACUGGAGACCAGCUUUUUGGAGUUUCCUAUUUAGUUCCUAAUUGGCAUUCUGCUGAACAGUGGCGUGUCAACAUCAUCAGAAGGGAAGCAUAAGACGUCUCGAUGAAGGAGCCUGGUUCAUGUUGGUGAACUCUCCCAAAGGUAGAAGGGAAGGCUCUGAAGGGAAAGCACACCUGCCUGUGAAGGGAUUUGCAGUUGUAUGUUCAGUCUCACCACUCAGUACGUAACCCAAGAUUUGAUACUAAAUGCAGAAGUAGAGAAUGGAAGACGAUGCCAUUUCAACUGCAAAUGGAAUUGUGGUUUUGAACCAGAGUGAAAAUCAGAAGAUUUGGGGGAACUUGAAAGUUACCAGAGGCCUAUGGCUCAAAGAUUAAAAAUUCAACGUUUCUUCAUCCUAGAUAUUAUAUAGGUCUUGGCUUAUGAAUAUGCAGAAAAGAAGACAGUAGUUCCCUCAUUAAACAAUAACUACAAAAAAAAAAAAAAAAACUUUUUUGGAAAAAAUGAUGUGAACUCAGAGGUGGAGAAAUGGAAACCCUGAAAGUUUCCUCUAAUCCUGCUAGCCAUUUUCUCUGUACUGUUCUUAGCCAUUUCCUCUUGCUUUGAACUUGCCUAAAAUGUGAACACACUUUUUACUACUCAGGUGUAUUCCGAGGAUUAUCUACGCAUAUCUGAAGAAGCUUUUUUUUUUUUUUUUUAAAGCAACCUUAUUACCUCAACUAUCUAAUUUCAGAGAUGGACCAGGAGUGAUAUUCAUGUCUGUCAUCUGACCACUGAGCCAUGUUCUGUUUGAGAUUUAUAUCUCUAAACUACCUCAAGGCUACGCAGCAUAUCCAGGGACUGAUCCCUGGGGAAACAGGAACACCAAGGAAAGGGAUGGAAAAUGUGCAGAAACGUUAGCCUGUGGCUGUGGCUUCCACAGCACUGAGGGUACUGCAGGGGAAUCCAUUAUUGGGAUCUUGCCUUUUUAGGUGAAUGUGAAUAUGAUGAACACAAACCACUGUAGUUGCAGAAAGAGUUGGGAGCACAGGCACGGCAGGAGUGACAAUAUGUUUGCACAGACUGUCUCUUUUUCCUUCUAAGUCUCAUCUAUGGCUAAAGAUGCCUGUAAGGAGGAACCAAGCUAGGAGAUCAACCCCAAUGAUAUGUCUUUUCAUCAUUAACUCUGUUUUCUUCACAUGACAGACUUCUCACUUUUAUCCCAUUCUCGUUUGUCCCUCAUUUUCUAUCAGUCCCCGCUUCUCCUCCUUCUCAGGAUCCUGCUGAUUGUUCGUUUACAUAGUACUGAAUAAUCUCCCAACAGCAGAGAGACUCCUGGGAUUUGCCUGUCAGGUUCUAUUUCCUAGGGAGAGAGGCUGAGUUACUGAGCCCACUCUUUUAGAAAUACAGUUUUACCUUGUAGUUAUUGGAUUAUUAGAGAAGGCUCUGUAGGCACAAAUGGUCUUUCUGGGAUUGAGUCCCCAAAGCUAUUUGGCUAGAUAAGCUGUCUUCUGAGUUUUUUCCUUCCUUCUUUCCUCCCUCCUUCCCUCCCUUCAUUCUUUCAUCCAUUCAUUCAUUUAUUCCUUCCUUCCUAGGACCGUAGGCUUUGCAGUCAGAUUGCCUGAGUUUCAGUCCCAGCACUGUUGCAUAUUAUACGGGUGAGCUUGGCCAAAUUACUUAACAGUCUAUGUCUCUCUUUCUUUAUCUGUAAAAUGAGGAUAAUAAUUGUAUGCAUCUCAUAGAGUUGUUCUAUAUGAGAAAAACACUUAGAACAAUGUUUGCUACAGAGUAAGAACCCAGAAAUGCUAGGUAUUAUGGUUAUUUAUUUAGCGCCUAAGAAAAACCAAACCUGUUGCUGCUGAGUCAAUUUCCACUCUUAGUGACCCUAUAGGACAGAGUAGGACUGUCUCACGGGGUUUCGAAGGAGUGGCUGGUGAAUUUGAACUGCCAAACUUUUGGUUAGUGGCAGAGCUCUUAACCACUGAGCCACCAGGGCUCCAUUUAGCUCUUACCAUGGUAAUAUCGUUCUGCUAGGUGUAAGGUAAGUGCCAUAGAAAUUAUGACCUGGUCUAGCUUCCUAUUUCCCAGUGAAUGAAAUGUGAGACGUAAACGUGAAAUCAUUAAGUAACAUUACAUCACCAUGAAUAGCAUUAUAUUACAAAAUGUCAGUGUGAACGAGAAAGCAGAGAGAAAGAAUACCUGCAAGGUGUCAAGGACGGUUUUGUAGAAAGCAAGCUCAUUUUUGUGAAAGUAUGAUCAGGGAGAUAGUUUUCCAGGUGGGCUAGUACUACUUCAGCGGCUGUACAGAUAUUUUUGAAACAGUGAGGAAAGAGUUUUGGCUACAGAGGAAAGUUCAGUAGAACAGAGUGAGAGAGAAAUCUGGUUACAAUAAAGAGAGAAUUCAUUUACGGAGGACCUCAAACCCCCAAGCCAUUGCUGUCGAGUCAGCUCUGACUCAUGGUGCCCCAUCCAUGUGUGUCAGCAUAGAACUUUGCUCCAUUGGGUUUUCAAAGGCUGGGUUUUUUGGAAGUAGAUCACCAGGUUUUUCUUCUGGGGCACCUCUGGGUGAAUUUGAACCUACAACCUUUUCAUUAGCAGCCAAGGACAUUAACCAUUUAUACCACCCAGGGACUCCUUGAAUCCUUAAUAGAUAUAAUGAACCACCCAGGGGCUUACUUUAUGAAAAAAUAAUUUCUGAUGACACUUCCAGCUCUUUACAGUCAAUGACAUUUUAGCUUUCUCCUGAUGAAAUGGUGGCAAUAUUUCCAUCAGGUGGGGGUGGGGUUGGUGGGAGCAUUUGAAGUUUUGGGGUAGGAAAACAAUAUGACACAAUGGAUGUCAUAAAAUAUGUGGUGUAAAAUAUAAAAGUAGAGACAGAAGUAAAACUAACACUUAUUUUUCUUUAAGAACAACAACAAAAAAAACCUCUUGGAGGUAUUGUUCACUAUUUACACAUGAAGAGGCCAAGUUGCAGAGAAGUAAAGAAACUGGCCUGAGAUUGCAGAUGUUGCUUCCAGGUGACUCUCCCUGCCUGCCAUUUUCAGAGUUCAGGAGCUGGGCUGUCCUGGAAAGAACAUCUACGUUUGCAAUCUAGUUCUGCCACUUCCUUGUCCUCUGGCACUGGGCAAGGUUUUGCCUCUCUUUUCAUCUGGUGAUAAUUUUUGUCUCAUGAAAGAAAUUUAAGUGAGGUACUAUAAAUACAAGUCCUGGAACAACAUUGUUGGUGCUGUCUUAACUACACAACGGGACUUCUGAGAGAUGGGAGGACUGUCAGGAGGCCAGCCCUGGUGUGAGCCGAGGAUCAGGACACGCACAGUGGCUGUGCACACAUGAUGAACGAUGAAAGAACGGGCCUUGCUGUUGGACGCUGUAGUGGAGACAGAAUUGUGUGUGGAUUCACAGCCCGGCUUUGCUCCUGUCCAUCUGUGCAGCCCUGAGCAGGGCACCUACCAGCCUCCUCAUCUCUGUGAUAGUCCUCUCUCCUCAGAAGACAGCGAUGAGACUUAAUUUACAGAAUGAAUGUAAAGCACGAGGCACAACACUGACUUUAAGGUGGCUUUUUAGUAAAUGGAUAUUAUUUUAUUCGUGCAAGUAUGUUAAAGAACUCUUCUCCUUUUAAACUCUCGUGGAAAAAGAAAACAGCAUUUAUUCUUUCAUUCUGAGACUUCAACUUAAUAAUUGAAAGAAAAAAUAGGAUGUGUCCUUAUUCUGCACAGAAUAAGGCAAGCAGUAAGAAACAAAGUGGUGGGGUCCCAUCCUGACCAAGGACAAUGCUGUAAAUUUCAAGUCCCAUCCGGGAACAUGAUGCCUGUUGAAAACUGGCUGCAGCCCUGGGCAGCAUUUAUAACAGGCAUUGUUUCUUUUGUUCAGUUUGGACAGCAUUUGUGUGGGUGCAUUCUUGUUUAAAGAAACUUUUACUCUUCGGUAAGGACCUCUGCUCCACUGUUCUAUGGAAUCUUUUUGUUUCAUCAUACACGUGGAAAACCUAAACAGUUUUCCUUUAUAAAAACUGUUGUUAGUUAAUGUCGAGUCAGCAACCCCACCUACAACAGACAAAACGCUGUUUGGUCCCGCGCCAUCUUCAUGAUCCUUGGUAUGCUCAAGUCCGUUGCUGUGGCCACCAUGUGUUCUCAGUGCCUUUCAAUGUAGAAGGGUCGUCUCCCAGCAGUGUAUCAGACAAUAUUCUGUGGUGACACAUAAAAUUUUCAUUGGCUAAGUUUUGGAAGUAGAUCACUAGGCCUUUUUUUCGUAGCCUUACUCUAGAAGCUCUGCUGAAACCUGUCCACCAUGGGUGACCCAACUGGUAUUUGAAACACUGGUGACAUAGCUUCCAGAAUCACAGCAACAUGUAAGCCAACAUGUAAGCCUCCACAGUAAAACAAACUGACAGAAGGAUAGUGGAUAGGAACUUUAGGCCAUGGUUUGUCUUUGAUGCCUACUUUGGAGUAAUUUAGAGACUUUCUUCCCACUCAUACCUCCUUCCCCAAAGAUAAAUCCCCAAAGAUAGAAUUGGCAUUUUAGAAACAAAAUACCCAGAGUCCGAAGGGCUGUUACUACUGAAAGAAAUGUGGUUGUCGAGUAACCCUAGACCCCAUCCUUCCAGACCCUGGGCAGGUUUGUUGACAAUAGCCUUAGGUGCAGGCUCUGGAGCUGCAGGCUAGAUUAGCAAAUCUAUUUUGCCUAUAUAAAGAGCAGAGCCUACAAGA